UACUCGGCAGACCACUUACGCCAGAACUGC
rnacentral:sRNA from 1 species